CCUACGGGAGGCUGCAGUGGGGAAUAUUGCACAAUGGGGGAAACCCUGAUGCAGCGACGCCGCGUGAAGGAAGAAGUAUUUCGGUAUGUAAACUUCUAUCAGCAGGGAAGAAAAUGACGGUACCUGACUAAGAAGCCCCGGCUAACUACGUGCCAGCAGCCGCGGGAAUACGUAGGGGGCAAGCGUUAUCCGGAUUUACUGGGUGUAAAGGGUGCGUAGGCGGUUUAGAAAGUCAGAAGUGAAAGCCCGGGGCUCAACUCCGGGACGGCUUUUGAAACUGUGGAACUAGAUUGAAGGAGAGGUAAGUGGAAUUCCUAGUGUAGCGGUGAAAUGCGUAGAUAUUGGGAGGAACACCAGUGGCGAAGGCGGCUUACUGGACUGUAAAUGACGCUGAGGCUCGAAAGCGUGGGGAGCAAACAGGAUUAGAUACCCUAGUAGUC
rnacentral:rRNA from 1 species